UCGGCGCACGCGGGAGCAAUCCUGCAGCGCCGGUGGCCAAAAACACUAAACCCUUUUGAACCCAGUUUUCUGAGAAAUUAUUUAAUAACUUCAAAACUUUCAACAACGGAUCUCUUGGUUCUGGCAUCGAUGAAGAACGCAGCGAAAUGCGAUACGUAAUGUGAAUUGCAGAAUUCAGUGAAUCAUCGAAUCUUUGAACGCACAUUGCGCCCUUUGGUAUUCCGAAGGGCAUGCCUGUUCGAGCGUCAUUAUCAACCAUCAAGCUCUGCUUGGCAUUGAUUGUCACCCCCCUCCCCGGGGGGCGCGAUCUAAACUGGUCGGCUGUGGUCUGUGAACCGUUGGCGUUAGUAAAAACUUCCCGCUACUCGGUAACAGGUCGCAAGCCUCCAAAACCCAACACCUCAAGGUUGACCUCGGAUCAGGUAGGGAUACCCGCUGAACUUAAGCAUAUCAAUAAGCGGAGGA
rnacentral:rRNA from 1 species